rnacentral:lncRNA from 10 species
GUCUGUACCAAACAUUGUCAGUGUUCCAGCCAUGCUGGUAAAUGUUUAACAAUGAGCUCUCAAAAAGAAAACCCCGAAUUAUGGCACUUGCCAAUUUCCAUGGUGUAAAUACUCCCACAUGGCUGACAUCAAACUAAAUUAAUGGUUGUCUCCACACAUGUAGCUGGGAAGCAAUGCUCACACCCCAGAGGGAGCUGGCCCCGAACACCCCCCUGUGCCCUCUUGCCUGACCCGGUUUGGACACCAGCUGCCUGGCGGCCAGUGCUGGGGCGUUUUGUCCGGUGCUGCCCUCAGAAGGCACUCUGCCUGAGAGUACGCAAAGCCAGCAGUGCCUGGGAGUUUACAGCCCCCAGGGGGAUCUUGUGGGUACAAAUACUGCAACUGUUGGCUCUGAUUGGCUGGCUCUGGGAUGUGACUUCCUCCCUAGAGGCUGAGCCAAAGGCAUCUUCAGCUGACUUUGCUUGAAGCCUCACCUUGGCUUGGCUUCCUGCCUUUUUUCCUCUCAGUUCCUCUUCCACCUGUCUUUGCAGAUAACUUUCCUGGUAACUUCCUUUCACACGCAACCUUGUCUCAGGGUCUACUUCUAGGGAACCCACGUAAGGCUGCAUCUCUAGAUAUCUUUUUCCCUUAAAUGCCCUGGGGUUUGGGAGAGUUUCCCACUCAAUAAUACUCAGUAAGCUUUCCCAUUAACCCCGCUAUAAGCUUUUCUUGGUUUCCUCUGUGUCUGUGCCCCAAGGUGUGUCUGUCGUGGGGGGAUGAGUCAUGGAGCAAAGUCCUCCCCACUGACUCAGCAAUGCCAUUUCCUGCCCACAACCUUCUAGAACUCUUGCACUUUGACACAAUGGGGACCAGCCCACCCCUGAUUCACCAGCUCAGUUUUCUGUCACAUCCUGUACUUUCCCUGAGGAUUUUUCUGUUCUCCUUCUGACCAGAGUCAACGCCAACCAACCCACAAGCAGCAGAGAACAGAAACGUGGCCAGAUGGUCUCCAAUACGGAUCAAAAACAUAAAGAGGCAAACGUGGAGGGGCGGAAGGUCCUUGGCCCUUUUCUCUUGAAAUUGAGUUCGCUGUGUUGAAAUGUCCAUCGUGUCUGCAUCCCCUUCCUGGUUUUCCCCAAAGAGGCCGUGGCGGGGGAACAGGUGGCGUUCCAUGUGGUGGCAACAUGAAGGGAUCACUCGCCAGCGAGCAUAAUCGCUCUGGAAACAUUCGGAAUACUCAUAUGUUCUGUACUUUUCCCCUGAGUCAAUAAGGUAGAAAUGCAUCAGGAGAAAGUCAAAGGUUUCUGUCAAAAUCCAGACCACAGGGAGAAAAUGACGAGUUGAUGGGGCUCACCCUGUGAUCAAUUUCUCCGUGAACCUGACAGGGAAGUCUUCUUAGAGGGCACCUCAGCGUCUGAAGUUGGCUUUCACAAUGAGCAGAAGGUGAAAAGCUGCCAAACAACAGCCACUUUCAAAAUCCAGUGAAAACAGAACUAAGCCAACAAAGGAAUAACAAGGUCCCAGGUUGCAAAACAAAACAAGUUGGGAAAACUUGUCCAAGAGCUGUACUGAACUCUUGCAUGGGCGCUGACGUACACAAAUCAUCCUCAUCACCUCUGAAACGAGGCAGCUCUAAAUUACUUCUUGAAUUCCAUAUGGUUAAUCUGCAGGCACAGGAACAUGCUUUAGGGUGAAAUUUAGUUGUUGUUGUUUUCACUGGGCUUGCAAUAACAUAUUGUAAAUGACUAAGGCUAGAUGACACUUUCACACCAGUCUUGAAAUCAUCCCAGUGAUCUUGACCCAAUGCCAGAUGAGGAUCUUGGUGCAGAUAAAGCGACUGUGCUUCUUCUUCCUGCAGAAUUAACAUUAACAAUCCUGCACAUUAACAAUCUAGAACUAUGUUAGCCAGGGUAUUUGAGGCAGAAUUCUGAACUGAAAUUGGUCGUCUCCUAGCACAAUGAUUUUUAAAUACAAAACAAGCAAACACACAAAAAGAAAAAAAGAAACAACAAGAAAUUUUAAAAUGUCGUAUCUAUCUUAUGAAAGCCAAAAUGAAAGAUUGGCAACCUUUCCUGAAUAUGGGCAUUGUCCACAUCUAAUCUAGAUGAUGUGGGUCCAGUUUUCUCUUUCUUCAAUCAUCUGAUGUUUUUACAUUCAAAUUGGUAGGAAAAGGAUGCUUUCCAGUUUAAUUUUCUUUAAAAUAAUUUCGCAGAUUUCUGAAUCCAUAUGCAAUUUUUAAGAGCACAGACUUUGGACUCAAAAAUGAGUUUAAAUUCUCAGUCUGCCACUUACAAGAUGAGUAAGGUGAAAAACCCCUUCACCUCUGUAAGCCUCAGAAAGAGCUUCAUUAGCAGCCUCCACGGAUGACACAGCCACCACAUGGCACGCAGAGUUAGUCUGAGGAUAAAUCUUGGUUUGCCCAGUUUUGCAGAGUGAUUCGUUUUUAAUGAAUUAUGCACACAGAUCAUAGGCUCUGCUCAAAGCCUCAUUUACUCUGGAAAUUCCUGAAAUUACUAUUCAUUUUGCUGAGUUCUUUUUUUACCCUCUUGAAAGCUCACAAAAACCCUCUGAAAAAGAAAAGCAUCAGCAUACAUAUUGUUGUAGAUUAGAAAACACAAAUGAUUUGAUAGAAAGCAGGUUUGGGGUGAAAUAAUCAUAAUAGUGAAUCAGCUCUCUGACUUUUUUUGAUGCUAUGGAAACCCUGGCAGUGAAGAAACUUUGAUUAAAUAGAUUCACAAUAGAUUCAAGCGUACUCAAGGGCUGGGGUCUUAACAUCUCUGGAGUGGCUCACAGUGCUGAGCACAUGGCAGACGCCCAAUCAAUUCGUGCAAACAAAUGAACAGAAUCAGAUUUCCAAGGAGUUCUUCAGGAAGUCAAGUAAUGCAUUGACCCUUUCCUUCAGCAUUACAUCCACGGAGCCUGCCUGUCUAAAUGAUUCAGAUCCGCUCUGCAACUCUAUGCAGGAGAAACACAUUUUCCUUUUCUGGUGGAUCAGACAACAGCAGGACUUCUGGAUUAUGUCUUCUGCAUAGGUUGCAGCAGGGAAACAUAGCAUUACGCGUGUAGACAGGGCAGGUUUAAUGCUAGGCAACGUUCUUAAGGGAGAUCAGAAAAGCAACUAGCAUGCCAGGUCUACUGUCCCGGCCCCCAAGGCUCAGCACAGAUAUUUGGAAAACCAGGAGUUGAGCAUUUGACUGGAAAAUAAAAACAACAUAGACUCGUGCAUUUGAUCAGUGAACUUGGAGCGCACACCAUGGAUUAGGCACAGCUGGGCACCGAGGAGACAUCACCUGGCUUAUAAGUCAUCUGUGCCCUCUGGGGACUGACAGUCCAGCUGGGAAUGAGGAUCAGGAGGUCAGAAAUUAAGUAAAGAGCAAAGAAGAAUGCAACAUGAGUAAACGCAAAAAUAAAAAAUAAAAACAAACAAAACAAGUUGGCCCUGACCAUCAGGCAGUAUGGUAUGGAGAAGACCACGGGCUUGUGUCUAUCAGUCAGACCUGCUUUGAGUCUUGGCUCCACCAUAAACCAGAUGAGUUAAGUUUCAUACCCUCUCUAAACGGUCGCCUCAGCUAUACAACAGGCUCAAUGAUAUUCACCCCACAAGAUUGCUAUAAGAAGGAAAUGGUAUGACCUUGGGGCAAGAAGAGGUACCAUUGUCCCCACUGUCCACAGAUGGUGACAUUUGUUCAGGACAACCUGGCCAUUAAGGAGGAGAACUCUAUGAGAACAAGGUCUGCGUCCCUAGAUGGCAUUCAUACAGUGGUGGUCUUUACACUGCUGGUGCUUUGAGAGGAAGAAGGGCAGUGACACCAACCGGACUACGGUCAGGGUAUUCUUCCCUGCCACGAACUCACAUUAAAGAUUUAAAACCCACUGGCCAAGGUGGCUCAUCACUGUAAUCCCAGCACUUUGGGAAGCCAAGGUAGGGGGAUUACUUGAAGCCAGGAGUUUGAGACCAGUCUGGGCAACACAGCAAGAGCCUAUCUCUACAAAAAAUUUAAAAAAUUAGCCAAGUGUGGUGGGGUACCCCUGUAGUCCCAGCUACUUGGGAAGCUGCAGUGGGAGGAUUCAGUGAGCCCAGGAGGUUAAGGUUUCAGUGUGCGGUGAUUGUGCCGCUGCACUCCAGCCUAGGUGACAGAGCGAGACCCUGUCUAAAAAUAAAUAAAUAAAAAAUAAAUAAAAUAAAAAUUGAAAUCCCAGUUUCACUAAACAAUGUCUUUGAUAAGGAAUAAGCAGGCCAGGCAUGGUGGCUCACCUCUAUAAUCCCAGCACUUUGGGAGGCCGAGGCAGGUGGAUCUCUUAAGCCCAGGAGUUCGAGACCAGCCUGGGCAACAUGGGGGGCCCUGUCCUUACUAAUAAUGCAAAAAAAAAAAAAAAAAAAAAUAGAGGGUGUGGUGGUGUGCACCUGUGUUUUCAGCUACUCAGGAGGCUGAGGUGGGAGAAUCACCCGAGCCCAGGAGGCUGAGGCUGCAGUGAGCUGUGACUGCACCACUGCACUCCAGCUUGGGUGACAGAGGAAGACUCUGUCUCAAACAAAGUCUUUCUUUAUAAGACUGUUUAUUAUUUAUCAACAGUGUUAGUUUUAUUCAAUCAUCCUUGGGUAUAUGUCUUUUUCAUAGUCUAUGUGAUAAACGGAAAGCUCAUAUGACACUUUGGCUGUGUGCUGAAGCACAGUGGCUGCGUCAAGGAAAAGUCAUUGUGAAGUUGUCUGAGUCCUAGACUCAACAAGCCUUUUUUAAAAAAAGAACGGAACAUCAUUUUUACUUGCAACAACACUCGACAGACAAAUCAUGGUUAUUCAGGCUUAGGUAGGUGGCAGACACUUUCUCGAAAAUGAACAAAGUGAGCCUGUCACUUUCAAGGAAAACAAUAGACAACUGGUUGCCAAUGAUAAAAUUUGAACAUUCAAGUAAAAAUGAGAAUGUUAAAAAACGUGUAUUUGCCAUGGCAAGCUUAACAGAUUCCCAGUUCUCAAAGACUUUUCCAGUGAGAUUAGUGGCAAUAAUUCAUGAAUGUGAUUUUUAAAAUAUUGUAUUGUCAAAUAUGCCAACAUUUGUAGGACUUUAAUAGCUAAGCAAACCAAUAUUUUCCAGAUGACCAGCGCAUGAUGUGACAAAACCAUCCUCUGGUAAAAGAUCCAUUUAGAGUGCAGAUGGGCCAGCGAAUUCUAAUGAAAGAGAAGAUGAAGUGUUCAUUGAUGUGGUUUCAGAUUUCCACAUUGCCGCUCACCUUUAAGAAACUGCCACUUGUUGAGUUUUGGUCUAGUAUCAAGAAGAACAGCCACAAUUAUCUGGAAAAGUCUAUCACAAUACUCAUCCCUUUGCCAAUUACAUAUCUGCAUGAGCUUGAUUUUCUUCAUGUACAUCAAUCAAAAUCUAUUGCAACAGACUGAAGUCAGAGGCAAGUACGGAAAUUCAGCCCUCCUAAAAGCACAUCUACCAUUCAAUCCAGCAAUCCCACUACUGGGUAUCCACCCAAAGGAAAAUAAGUCAUUAUAUGAAAAGGAUACCUGCACACAUAUGUUUAUAGCAGCACAAUUCACAAUUGCAAGCAUGUGAAACCAACCUAAGUGCCCACUGACUAAUCAGUGGAUAAAGAAACUGUGGUAUAUGUACACCGUGGAAUACUACUCAGCCACUAAAAGGAACCAAAGGCCACGUGAGGUGGCUCAGGUCUGUAAUCCCAGCACUUUGGAAGGCUGAGGCGGGUGGAUCACCUGAGGUCAGGAGUUCAAGACCAGCCUGGCCACAUGGUGAUACCCAGUGUCUACCAAAAAUACAAAAAAUUAGCUGGGUGUGGUGGCGGGUGCCUGUAAUCCCAGCUACUCAGGAGGCUGAGGCAGGAGAAUCACUUGAACCUGGGAGGGGGAGGUUGCAGUGAGCCGAGAUCACACCAUUGCACUCCAGCCUGGGCAACAGGAGCGAAACUCCAUCUCAAAAAAUAAAUAAAUAAAUAAAUAAAUAAAUAAAUAAAUAAAUAAGAGGAACGAAAUAAUGUCUUUUGCGGCAACUUACAUGGAGGAUGGAGCUGGAGGCCAUUAUUCUAAGUGAAGUAAUUCAGGAGUAGAAAACCAAGACCAAUGUGUUCUCACUUAUAAAGAGAGCUGAACUAUGAGUAUGCAAAGGCAUAUAGAGCGAUAUAAUGGACUUUGGAGGCUCAGAAGUGAGAGAGCAGGAGGCAGGCUAGGGAUAAAAAGACUGCACAUUAAAUACGAUGUACACGGCUUGGGUGACUGGUGCAGUAAAUCCUCAGAAUUCAUCCCUGUAUAAUACAUUUGUGUAAUGAAAAACCGUACCCCAAAAGCUGUUGAAAAGAUUUUUUUUAAUUAAGCUAUUCUCUAUUAAACCUGACAUUAAAGAGAUUUGCAAAAAUGUAAAAUAAUAUUACUCUUCUCACUGAUUUUUUUAUUUUGGAUC